rnacentral:rRNA from 1 species
UACGGAGGGUGCGAGCGUUGUCCGGAAUCACUGGGCGUAAAGGGCGCGUAGGUGGCGCGGGAAGUCAACGGUGAAAGUUCGGGGCUCAACCCUGAAUCGGCCGUCGAUACUCCCGGGCUCGAGCACUGUAGAGGCAGAUGGAAUUCCGGGUGUAGCGGUGGAAUGCGUAGAGAUCCGGAAGAACACCGGUGGCGAAGGCGGCCCGCUGGGCAACUGCUGACACUGAGGCGCGACAGCGUGGGGAGCAAACGGG